rnacentral:rRNA from 1 species
GUCGAGCGAACAGAAAAGGAGCUUGCUCCUUUGACGUUAGCGGCGGACGGGUGAGUAACACGUGGGCAACCUACCCUAUAGUUUGGGAUAACUCCGGGAAACCGGGGCUAAUACCGCAAUAAUCUCUUUUGCUUCAGGGGGAAAGACUGAAAGACCGUUUCGGCUGUCGCUAUAGGAUGGGCCCGCGGCGCAUUAGCUAGUUGGUGAGGUAACGGCUCACCAAGGCGACGAUGCGUAGCCGACCUGAGAGGGUGAUCGGCCACACUGGGACUCACACCCGGCCCAGACUCCUACGGGGGGCAGCAGUAGGGAAUCUUCCCCAAUGGGCGAAAGCCUGAUGGAGCGACGCCGCAUGAGUGAUGAAGGUUUUCGGAUCGUAAAACUCUGUUGUAAGGGAAGAACAAGUACAGUCGUAACUGGCUGUACCUUGAGGGUACCUUAUUAGAUAGCUACGGGUAACUACGUGCCAGCAGCCGCGGUAAUACGUAGGUGGCAUGCGUUUUCCGGAAUUAUUGGCCGUAAAGCGCGCGCACCCGGUCCUUUAAUUAUGAUGUGAAACUCCAGGGGUCAACCGUGGAGGGUCAUUGGAAACUGGGGGACUUGAGUGCAGAAGAGGAAAGUCGACUCUCAAGUGUAGCGGUGAAAUGCGUAGAAACCUGGAGGAACACCAGUGGCGAAGGCGACUUUUCGGUUCUGUGACUGACGCCGGGGUGCCAAAGCGUGGGGAGCAAAACAGGAUUAGAUUACCCUGGUAGUCCACGCCCUAAAAGCUGAGUCGAUAGGGAGAGGGGGUUUCCGCGCCUUAGUGCUGCAGGUAAGCUACCCCUUUAACUCUCCCCCCGGGGAAGUCCGUCCCCAGUGGGUUAAACUUAAAAGAAUUGGCGGGGGGCCCCCCCAACCGGGGGACCUUUUGUUUAAUUUGGAUCCACCCGGAGGACCUUUCCAUGUUCUGGCCUUCCAUAGACCUUUGCAGAGAUGUAGUGGCCCCUUCGGGAACUCUGAUACCGGUUCGGCCAGGGUGUUGUCCAGUCCCCGGAUCUUGGGUAAAUUUGGGUUUAAUUCCCCAACGGGGCCAACCCUUUUCUUUUGUUUCCCGCCGCACUCUAAGGUGACUGCCGGAGACAAACCCGGGGAAGGUGGGGAGGAAGUGGGGAUGACGUCAAGUCAUCAUGGCCCUUACGACCAGGGCUACACACGUGCUACAAUGGGCGAUACAAAGGGUAGCCAACUCGCGAGAGGGAGCUAAUCUCAUAAAGUCGUUCUUAGUUCGGAUUGGAGUCUGCAACUCGCCUCCAUGAAGUCGGAAUCGCUAGUAAUCGCGGAUCAGAAUGCCGCGGUGAAUACGUUCCCGGGCCUCGUACACACCGCCCGUCACACCACGGGAGUGAAGUCGGUGAGGUAACCUUUUGGAGCC